rnacentral:rRNA from 1 species
UCGAGAAUCUUGGACAAUGUACGAAAGUAUGAUCCAGCGACGCCGCGUGGAGGAUGAAGGAGCUCUGCUUCGUAAACUCCUUUUAUGAGGGAAGAAGAUCUGACGGUACCUCAUGAAUAAGCCACGGCUAACUACGUGCCAGCAGCCGCGGUAAUACGUAGGUGGCAAGCGUUGUCCGGAAUUACUGGGCGUAAAGGGUGCGUAGGCGGAUAUUUAAGUAGAAAGUGAAAGGUUGGAGCUCAACUCCAACAUUGCUUCCUAUACUGGGUGUCUUGAGUUUCGGAGAGGAAGAUGGAACGACACGUGUAGCGGUGAAAUGCGUUGAUAUGUGUCGGAACACCAAUAGCGAAGGCAAUCUUCUGGACGAAUACUGACGCUGAGGCACGAAAGCCAAGGUAGCGAACA